AGCGAACGCUGGCGGCAGGCUUAACACAUGCAAGUCGAACGCAUCACUUCGGUGGUGAGUGGCAGACGGGUGAGUAACACGUGGGAACGUACCCUUCGAUCUGGGAUAACUUCGGGAAACUGGAGCUAAUACCGGAUACGCCCUUUUGGGGAAAGGUUUACUUUGCAAGAAUCGGCCCGGGUCGGAUUAGUUAGUGGGUGGGGUAACGGCCUACCAAGUGGACGCUCAGUAGCGGGUCUGAGAGGAUGAUCAGCCACACUGGGACUGAGACACGGCCCAGACUCCUACGGGAGGCAGCAGUGGGGAAUAUUGGACAAUGGGCGCAAGCCUGAUCCAGCCAUGCCGCGUGAGUGAUGAAGGCCUUAGGGUUGUAAAGCUCUUUUGUCCGGGACGAUAAUGACGGUACCGGAAGAAUAAGCCCCGGCUAACUUCGUG
rnacentral:rRNA from 1 species